CAUUUGGUUUCUUCGCGAGCGCCUUAUUUUCUAUUUUUCUCAAUUUUUUCGAGAUUUUUUAGAGUUUUUAUUUGAUUCAAAAUGUCCUUCAACACUUCUUCCUCUAGCAGUUCUAGAAGUUCGUCAGCUCCAGUCCCCCAAAAUUUUGGUACCGUAGAUGAAUCCGCACUUAGGAUCGAACCUCGUCCGAUCUUUGCACCAGACACCAUUCCCAGCUCUUUGACCU
rnacentral:lncRNA from 1 species